AGUGAACGCUGGCGGUAGGCCUAACACAUGCAAGUCGAACGGCAGCACAGUAAGAGCUUGCUCUUACGGGUGGCGAGUGGCGGACGGGUGAGGAAUACAUCGGAAUCUACUUUUUCGUGGGGGAUAACGUAGGGAAACUUACGCUAAUACCGCAUACGACCUACGGGUGAAAGCAGGGGAUCUUCGGACCUUGCGCGAUUGAAUGAGCCGAUGUCGGAUUAGCUAGUUGGCGGGGUAAAGGCCCACCAAGGCGACGAUCCGUAGCUGGUCUGAGAGGUGAUCAGCCACACUGGAACUGAGACACGGUCCAGACUCCUACGGGAGGCAGCAGUGGGGAAUAUUGGACAAUGGGCGCAAGCCUGAUCCAGCCAUACCGCGUGGGUGAAGAAGGCCUUCGGGUUGUAAAGCCCUUUUGUUGGGAAAGAAAAGCAGCAGGUUAAUACCCCGCUGUUCUGACGGUACCCAAAGAAUAAGCACCGGCUAACUUCGUG
rnacentral:rRNA from 1 species